GCAAUCAUGGUGAGUGUUGGUACUGAGGAGGCCUAGCAGGGUGAAGGCCACGGUCGCGGCCUUCACGGGUUCCUCGGCCGUCCUGAGUCCCAAAUCCCAAGCUGGAGCCGUUCAGCUCCCCUCCACCGCUUAGAGAUUUGGGGGGCUCUGGCCCCGUCCUUGCGGACCAUUCCGAGGGGAGUCCAGAGGUGAGGCCGAGGAACCUCCCUGACUUUGCGGGGCGCGCCGCUCCUGCGUCUCCUGCCAGUCUCCCUUCCUUCUUUUCGGUCAACAAUUGAAAACAAAACGAGGAACAGCAGAGGAGCUACUGUAUACCGAGCCCUCAGCAUUGUUCGUAAUCUCCGCCUGCUAACAGCCUUGUGAAGAAGGUGCUAUUCUUCUCAACACUUUACAGAUGAGGACACUUGAGGUUCGGAGACGUGGAGCCUCUUGCACAGCUGCUUAAGUGGUAGUAGAGCCGAGAUUUGAACCCUCCUAACCAUUCCUUUCUGCCGCCUACUGCAGCUCCCAGCAGAGAUGAUUGAACUGUUGCUCGGGGUAGGGCCCCCAGACUUCGGGGACCUGGUUUUUAGAGAGUCUAGAAUCUGAUGAGAGAACCUGUGCUUACUUGGGCUUGUGCUGGAAAAGAUGAAAUGGGGAAAAUGGUGUCAGUAAUUAACACUGUGGAUA
rnacentral:lncRNA from 10 species